rnacentral:rRNA from 1 species
GUGCCAGCAGCCGCGGUAAUACGGAGGGUGCAAGCGUUGUUCGGAAUUACUGGGCGUAAAGCGCGCGUAGGCGGUUUGCUAAGUCAGAUGUGAAAGCCCAUGGCUCAACCAUGGACGUGCAUUUGAAACUGGCAGACUUGAGUAUUGGAGGGGGUGGUGGAAUUCCCGGUGUAGAGGUGAAAUUCGUAGAUAUCGGGAGGAAUACCGGUGGCGAAGGCGACCACCUGGCCAAAUACUGACGCUGAGGUGCGAAAGCGUGGGGAGCAAACAGGAUUAGAUACCCGCGUAGUCC